rnacentral:misc_RNA from 1 species
GGAAACCGUAGUUUCUUUGAUCCAAAAGUUGAAUGGGAAGCAACAGAGCCAUUACGUCCAUAACGCAGCAUCUGUUGUAGCUGCCAAUCUGUCUGAAUACCCAGGACAAAAGACUCACAAUCACUGCUCUCUUGAAAGAAGAAAAUGAUUUUCCUAUGUCGUUGCACCCAUAUCUUCACACUACAAUCAUCAUUUGUAUGAAGCUCAUGUGAAGAAUUACGAAUAACUCUUUCCAUGUUACGGACAUCAUUACGAGAAAGAAAAUCAUCACGAUUUUGGGGUCCCCCACGCC